rfam:Wallemia ichthyophaga EXF-994 unplaced genomic scaffold scaffold27, whole genome shotgun sequence.
GGGCGCAUAGCUUAGUGGUAAAGCGAACUGCUUUUAACAGUUUGAUGAGUGUUCGAUUCGCUCUGUGCCUA